CGGCAAUGGAGGAAACUCUGACCGAGCAACGCCGCGUGAACGACGAAGUACUUUGGUAUGUAAAGUUCUUUUAUCAAGGAAGAAAAGCAAAUGGCGAUCCAUUUGUUUGCCGGCACUUGAUGAAUAAGCCCCGGCUAAUUAUGUGCCAGCAGCCGCGGUAAGACAUAAGGGGCAAGUGUUAUCCGGAAUUAUUGGGCGUAAAGGGUGCGUAGGCGGUCUAGUAAGUCAGUGGUGUAAUGGCAACGCUCAACGUUGUCCGGCUAUUGAAACUGCUAAACUUGAGUUAGAUAGAGGCGAGUGGAAUUCCAUGUGUAGCGGUAAAAUGCGUAAAUAUAUGGAGGAACACCAGAGGCGUAGGCGGCUCGCUGGGUCUUAACUGACGCUGAGGCACGAAAGCGUGGGGAGCAAACAGGAUUAGAUACCCUGGUAGUCCACGCCGUAAACGAUGAGUACUAAGUGUCGGGUUAAACCGGUACUGAAGUUAACACAUUAAGUACUCCGCCUGAGUAGUACGUACGCAAGUAUGAAACUUAAAGGAAUUGACGGGACUCCGCACAAGCGGUGGAUCAUGUUGUUUAAUUCGAAGAUACCCGAAAAACCUUACCAGGUCUUGACAUGUUUUUGCGAAACGAUAGUAAUAUCGUAGAGGUUAUCAGAAACACAGGUGGUGCAUGGUUGUCGUCAGCUCGUGUCGUGAGAUGUUAGGUUAAGUCCUAAAACGAGCGAAACCCUUAUCGUUAGUUGCCAGCACGUUAUGGUGGGGACUUUAACGAGACUGCCAAUGAUAAACUGGCGGAAGGUGAGGAUCACGUCAAAUCAGCAUGCCCCUUAUGACCUGGGCUACAAACGUGAUACAAUGGCUGUUACAAAGAGUAGCUGAA
rnacentral:rRNA from 1 species